rnacentral:rRNA from 1 species
UACAGAGGUCUCAAGCGUUGUUCGGAUUCAUUGGGCGUAAAGGGUGCGUAGGUGGCGUGGUAAGUCGGGUGUGAAAUUUCGGAGCUUAACUCCGAAACUGCAUUCGAUACUGCCGUGCUUGAGGACUGGAGAGGAGACUGGAAUUUACGGUGUAGCAGUGAAAUUCGUAGAUAUUCGCAAGAACACCAGUGGCGAAGGCGGCUUACUGGACACAUAUUGACGCUGAGGUGCGAAAGCGUGGGGAGCAA